CAUGUCACCCGUGCGAACGCAGGACACCCUCGAUAAGUCAGUUUUCAUACUUUAAAAUUGUUGCACUUCCAGCAGAGAUAUGACUACUACAACAUUUGAUCAACUCCAGUGAAGGGCUUCAUAUAAUUACUUGGGUAAGUUUGUUUAAUCUUAUGAUAAUCGGGGUUAUUUCGGUGAACAUUGAUUAUUUCUCAAGAUUAGAAAUCGGUUGUCGUUAAACUUCAAUAUACAAUAAUAUGGGCUAUUACCGUGUCACUCUUGAUAUACAUUUUCAAUAUUGGUAGUUUUUCAAUAUUGAAUAGUUUACAAGCGUGAAGUUGGUGCAGUGAGAGUUACCAAUAGUGGUGAUGUUCUUAAAGUCCCUAAUUUAAUAACCUAUAGUCAUUUGGCGGCAAAAUGGCUACAAUGGCAACAAAGAAAAGGAUCACAAAGGCCCAGUUUAAACUCUAUCUUGAUUUCUUGCGGGAUUGCCGCCCAUUCGCUAGAACUGGGCGUUUAGAACCAAAAGAUGACCCAGGUCACCAACGCCUGGAAAGAGCUAGUAAGCUCAUUACUCAUGUGGGGAUGGUCCUCUUAGCACUUUGUUAGAGUGGAAAAAAGUGUUUACUGAGUGGAAAUGUGCUACCCGGAAAAUGUUCAUAGAUAAUAAACAUCUGAACGAGUAUGAAAACGAACUGAUAAUAUUAACAGGUUCUGUAGCUGUGGAAGGAGUGAAAAAUACCGAGUUGGGGCAGGACCUACCCACAACAAGUGAUGUUGCAGCUGAUCAAAUAAAUUACUGAAUAAUAGAAAAUAUACAACUUCAAUAUCACUUAUUUAAGGAGGAGGAAGUAAUUGAAAAUAUUAUGAAUGAUGCUCAACAUCUUCCAGAAACAGAAGAACCUGUCGAAAAGAGUCAGCAUGAAAAAAAGGGAAAAAAGAAACGUAGGUAUUUUUUCUCAUGGAUUUACGUAAAAAAAGUACUGGCGACAUACUCACAGAUGCGUACGUCCAAGCUACAAACGUUCAAGCUAAGGGCAUGAACAAAAUCGGUGAUGCUUUACGAGACAUUGUUAUCGCAAAUAAUCGCUAUUGCGAAAUUACUGAGAGAAAAUUAGACCUUAUCUACAAUUGAGAUUGGGCUCUGUUGUGUUUGUUUUUUAGUUUUGAAGCAGGUAAUAGGUUCAGAUUCAGGUGUGUUGCUCAGCUUAUUUUACUCAGCGAUUCAAAUUUCAAAAAACCAGGUGGAAUAAAUUUUGGUGGGUUGUAGGGUUAGCAAAGGUAAGUAUUUUGCAAUGUUUAGCAGGUUGUAAAGGCGGGAAAAUAGCGGAGAACGUCAUAAUGGAUGUUCCGCAUGAUAUAAUUUGCAGUUUAUUUAAAACACCGUUUUCACGUCGAAAUAAUGAUCGUCGCGAAAUUCUGGCAAUCGGUAGGCCCAUACAGAUCUUGGUAUUUAAUCAAAUGAUAAAAAGCAAGGUCAGGUGCUUUCUCGUUCUUUCCAGAUUGGUUGGUAUGGGAAACAUGAAUGAUUGUGCGGAAGUUUUUUCAAAAAGGCUUUAUUUUGUUGGCCAUGUCUCCUUUUAGCUACCACACGUCGCACGGUUUGGUGUGAUAAAGGUUAUAGGGACUUAAAAAAUUUAUCCGCCAGUAUUAAAAACAUAUGCAUCACAGGAUCAUAUGAUUUAUUUUGGGGCCCUAAAAUGUUUUGAAAAAAAAUGCACCAACAAUUCAAGACGCUUUAAAUAUACAGGGUACUUUGUGUAUUAAGUUA